AGCUCCAGUAGCGUAUAUUAAAGUUGUUGCAGUUAAAAAGCUCGUAGUUGGAUCUCGGGUUGUCGACUGUGGUUCAGGUUCAUGCCUGUUUACUGCUGUCGAUACCUAACUGGUGGGAUGCUGUGGGUGCCCUUGACUGGGUCGCCUACUGCACCCGCUCAAUUUACUUUGAAAAAAUUAGAGUGUUCAAGGCAGGCUCACACGCCUGAAUAAUGGUGCAUGGAAUAAUAGAAUAGGAUCUCGGUUCUAUUUUGUUGGUUUUCGGAACUUGAGAUAAUGAUUAAGAGGGACAGACGGGGGCAUUCGUAUUGCGGUGUUAGAGGUGAAAUUCUUGGAUCGCCGCAAGACGAACUACUGCGAAAGCAUUUGCCAGGAAUGUUUUCAUUAAUCAAGAACGAAA
rnacentral:rRNA from 1 species